CUCGGCUUCCCGGCUGAUGUUUUUAUUCACGAGACCAGCCAUUGACUUGGACGGAGUAGCCCGAUAAUCGCAGGCAUGAGCGUAUCUUACAGCAACAAUCCGAAAGAGCUCAUCUUGUCAUUCCUGGCAGCGUUACGCCGGAUCCUCUGUACAUGCGGGCAGAAUCCCGACAGUGGAGAAGGUGACAAUGACGGGUUACUGCAUCUCCCGAUUCAGGAGACUGAUCCUGCGCCAAACCGCAGCUCUGUGAAGCCCUGGUUUGACCCUGGAAAUAGAUGCCGUUAACUUCUUUUUAAAAGGCUGCUGCCUUAAUGGGGGCUCAGUGGGUCAGACCUCUGUGUCCGUGAUUGGAAGGUCGCUGGUCUGAAUCCUGUGCUCAGCAGGAGUCACAUCACUGUAGGACCCUUGAGCAAAGGCCCUUAGUAGCCUGGAUAAUGACCCCAUGCUCUGCUCUUGCUGUAUAUAUGUGUAUUCAUGUCAUUCUGCGCAAAAUUUUGAUAAGCUUUUGCUACACAUCCUAAUGCAUUUUUUUGUAAAUCUUUUUAAUGACUUCCCUAUGAGGGCCAUUAUGUCUUGCUUCCUGUCCAAGCUACACUGUCCGUCGUGCCUUAAGCUACCUGGGUCACACUACUGGCUCUCAGUGACCCUGUACUGGGGAGGGGGCAGGGGUACGUAUUUAUUCAAGUUAAAUAUGACCAUAAUGUAAUCAAAGGAUGUAGAUAUAAUUUAUUGAUUGCAAAGGGACACUUAGUUUCAAACAGUAUCAAAGGGUAAAGUAAAUUAAGUAAAGUGUACUUAUGAUGGGUAUGGGGGUGGGGGGAGGAAUUGUUUAUUUUACUCCAUCAAUGCUUUAUUGUACUUUUGUGUAAGAUUUUCCUUUGUUUAUAUAUGAAGUACUGUGUGAUGCACUUUGUCAACUGCUGUUUAACUAAGAUUUUUAUAAAAUUUGUAAUUUUCCAACUA